rnacentral:lncRNA from 1 species
GAGGAUGGGCAAAGUGUCAGGCUCUUGGUGCAGCUGAAAAUCCUUUGAGAUGGAAGAAAUGGCUGGAACAAAGGGGCAGAGGAACAAAAAGCCCUGAACUGCUUCGCCCCUGCCUCGUGGGGUCUUUAUCAUCUUAAACCUUGGGAUUUGGGCUUUGAUCAACUCGGCCUUCCUGGGCCUCGGGGAGAGAGACGGACUGCCUCCGGGUGCUCAUGACCUUUCCAGCAGUAAGCCAAUAAUGUAUGACUCCUGCGUUGCCGUUGCUCGUUUGAGGCACAGUGGAUUGAAGAGGGGGGCAGUGCUGAGUCAUUCACGUGGUGUGUGAGGGCUCCUGUUUGUAAAUCAGGGAUUCUUGCAGCCUGCUUUUUCAGGGACAUUGGCUGCUGUCUUCUGACCCACCCUGUGUGGCUUUGGCGUCUCCUGUGACCUCCCAGUAUGGGUCUUGGCCUCAUCCUGCCUCUUUGUCUUUCUGGCCCACCACCCACAGCUUGAAUCUCAGGCUCCAACAGUUGCCUGACCCCCAGAUUCUGAUGACAGCCUACCUACUUGUUCUUCAGGCCCUCACCAGACUCACUGCCCAGACACACCACACAGGAGAACAUGAAAGGGUGAAUGAAUCUUUCAUCAUUUGAUGACCAAGUUGGCAUUCUUUUACAUUCCAGCCACCAGAGGAAGGUGUAUUUUAACACAAUUGCCCUCACAUCCUCCUUAACAGGAUUUACAUAAGUUUAUUAACACAUAUGUUUCUACAAAAUCAAGUUUUGAGAACCAUUUUUAUACACUGAUCUGGGACAUUUUGGGGAUAUGAAAUUAACUUUAGCACACACAGCAAGAAGAAAACCGAACAACAAAUUCUACAAACACCAAAUUUGCUGUGAAAUUUACAUUUCAGAAUCUCUCAAGAAAUAGUGCCCAGCAGCAAUUCUUACUGUUUUCACUUUUUCCCCCGUCUUCACAUUUUUAUGUUUGACAGUGCCAACAUAUUUUCUCAACAUUUAUUCUGAAAGGAAUGUACUUUGUGAAUUCCUUAAAUGCAGGAUGAUUCU